AUACUAAGGUCAAAAGAUAAAAAAUCUGAUGCGAGCUUGCUUGCAAGAGGAUUUUUUAUUUUGGGACCUGCCAAAAACAUGAAUAAUUGCUAUUUUUCAUAGAAAAAUGAGCAAAUUAUGAAUGUUUUUUGAGGAUUGUGAGAGUACGUAGUGCGAAACAAUCCGGUA
rnacentral:sRNA from 1 species